UCUGUUCGUGUCCAUCCAUUGCUCUUCUGAUGUAUAUCAGUGAUCAGUCAUUUGUUUGUGGUGACCUGAUUCUUGACUGAGCUCAGUUUUGUAAAUACAGGUUUGUAAAGAUUUUAAUUCCUUGUCUCCCCUAGUUUAAAUCAAUCAUUGUGUAUGAAAAUGAAAAGUGUGAAUCAAUUUGUAAAAGUUCCUCAGAAUAGAUCUGAAGUAAUGCACUUAAAAAUGAGAAGUUCACCUCAAAGUGUAGUUUUCAAGAUUUUAGCAGAAAAUGUCAUGUUCUCCUUCACUGUUGAAGCUUGAUGAAUACUUUGUAGUGCUGUUUUUGUAUUAGUCUAUAAGUUUUUCACAUGUUAUUGUUGUGUUUUCCAGGUGUUUACCUGUUGAGCUGCUGCAGCCUGGAGGGAAACACCAGCUCUCACCUCACAGACCAAACAGGUGUCACCACUUCAUCCAUGAGUCCAGAGUUCAGGACCAGGACAGAGUCCUCCAGGUGAACUCACAGAAACCACUGGAUCCACUCGAGGUGAAGG